CCGAGGACCGUUACUGCUAUUGAAAUGGAUGAUGACCAUCGAUUUAAGAAUUUUUUCAUGGCAUUAGAAUGUUCCAUUCAUGUAUUUAGAGAAUAUCUGAGUUGGCAAUAAUCUAAGAUCGACAAUGGCUGAAGUCUUUCCAGAUGUUCAUCAUGGAUGUUGUUGUCAUCAUCUUAUGUGUAACAUGCGGACAAAGUAUAAACGAGACUCAAAGGUUGCGGGGGCAUAUUGGAAGCCGCAAAAUCAUACACAAAAUCAGAAUUUGGGGCAAUGAUACAAUCCCUUGACUCAAUGAACCCUCAAGCUGGAGUUUAUCUACGUGAUAUCGGAUUUGAGCGUUGGAGUAGAGCGUACUUUUCGGGGUAUCGUUACAACAUCAUGACCACUAAUAUUGCUGAGUCAUUUAAUGCCCUUGUUAGACAUGCACGAGGCCUACCCAUCACAAUGCUCCUAGAGUUCAUCCGUGGUACCAUGCAGCGAUGGUUUUACGAGAGAAGAAACCAUGCAAGAGAAGAUCAGUAGUCCUCUAUCAAAGUCUGCACGUUUGGAGGUUCGAUCAAUUACACAGACUCGAUAUCACAUUUGGAGGUUUUGGUGGAUUCAUAGGUAUUGUAGACUUCAGUGAAAUGUCCUGCAUAUGUAGAAAGUUUCAGUUUUCACGUAUUCCGAUCAAGAACCUGUCAAAUCCUCUUAGAAAUCAAUCUGAUUGAUUGCACUCACCAGAAGGAAUGGUUGUUCUGCCCCCCUCCUCGAUAGUUGUCGUCCGGGUCGUCCCUCCAACAAAAAUCGACGUCCUUCGCAGGGAGAAAAUGUGACACCAAGGAUUUGUAGCUGUUGCCAUGAACCAGGACACGUACGAACCCAAUGUAAAAGCCCAGCACCCGUGCCGAACUCCGUUCCGCAGUGUUCAUCUAAAAAAGACAAAGAGAUAAGAUCUUGAAAUUCGGUGGAAUCAUUUUUGUUAGUUAUAUGAGUCAUCAUUGUUGUACUUCAGUUACAUAUAACCGAUGUAUUUUUAUUAUUGUUUCA